UGAAAUGCUAAAGCAAAGUAUGUGAGCAUAACAAGGAUUUCGCUCAUUGUGUCACAUGCCGUGGUGGGGGAUGGAUGCGCCACAGUGCAUGGUACAGAACUUUGAUUAAUAGGGACGUGUCCCAUUCAUGAAAUAGAAGGGAGGAACAUGAGAGAAGAGCUCAAACAUGAAGAAGAGUGGGGGAUUUGCUAAGGCAAGCAAAAUCAGGAGCAAAGAUUAUGUUUCUAACCUGUUGGUUAUCAGAUUCUAGUAUGUGAUGAGUAGAUAAGUGGAAAGAGAUUCAAGUAAGAAAGUUACACGGGUAACCCUUUCUAUCAAACAGAAGGGUUGAGGUUCUAGUACUAGUACGUCAAAAGGGAAAGACAUUGGCUAAGUGGAG